rnacentral:rRNA from 1 species
AGCAGCCGCGGUAAUUCCAGCUCCAAUAGCGUAUAUUAAAGUUGUUGCAGUUAAAAAGCUCGUAGUUGAAUUUCGGGGUUAGUAGGUUGGUCAUGCCUCUGGUAUGUACUGGUCUCACUGAUUCCUACCUUCUGACGAACCAUCAUGUCAUUAAUUUGGUGUGGCGGGGAAUCAGGACUGUUACUUUGAAAAAAUUAGAGUGUUUAAAGCAGGCUCGCGCUUGAAUACAUUAGCAUGGAAUAAUGAAAUAGGACGUUGACCCUAUUUUGUUGGUUUCUAGGAUUGACGUAAUGAUUAAUAGGGAUAGUUGGGGGCAUUAGUAUUCAAUUGUCAGAGGUGAAAUUCUUGGAUUUAUUGAAGACUAACUACUGCGAAAGCAUUUGCCAAGGAUGUUUUCAUUAAUCAAGAACGAAAGUUAGGGGAUCGAAGACGAUCAGAUACCGUCGUAGUCUUAACCAUAAACUAUGCCGACUAGGGAUCGGAUGAUGUUAUUUUUAAUGACUCAUUCGGCGUCCG